UACGAAGGGGGCUAGCGUUGUUCGGAAUUACUGGGCGUAAAGCGCGCGCAGGCGGUUUUUCAAGUCAGUGGUGAAAGCCCGGAGCUCAACUCCGGAACUGCCAUUGAAACUGUAAAACUUGAGGAUGAGAGAGGUGAGUGGAAUUCCCAGUGUAGGGGUGAAAUUCGUAGAUAUUGGGAAGAACACCGGUGGCGAAGGCGGCUCACUGGCUCAUAUCUGACGCUCAGGCGCGACAGCGUGGGGAUCAAACAGG
rnacentral:rRNA from 1 species